AGGCACUAGGUUCAGAGGAGGUGGGGGCUGGAGGGGCCCAUGAACAAGACAUUGGGAUGGAGGUUGGCCAUGCUGGGCCAUGGAGCUCCUAUCACCCUUUUCAUACUGAGCCCCCAAGCUUAGGAUGACAGUGACCAGCAAUCUGCCUUUCUCUGUGUAGAGGGGCAGCUGGGGCAGCUGCUGGGUCUCCAGAAAAAGUUGGCGCCCAGGAAUGGGGGCAGGAGGAACCUGCACGCUUGCCCAGAGCAUAAGACUCUCACUCUCCCGUUAACCAUUACCCCAUUGCUUCCACAACAGUGUCUUCAAGGAGGCGGGACUUGGGAGGGGGUAGGUGAGCUCCUUGGGAUGGACCUUGUCCCUCCUCUGAGCACUGGGUGGCUGAUCCAGCUAUGAAGGCAGCUGCAGGUAGGAGGCCGGGAAAAAUUCUCUGGAGGGGACCAGGGGCAGUCAGGGGACAAAUUUGGAGGGUGAGGGUUUGGGACCAGGACAUACUUAAUGUUGGAGCUUGAAGCCCUGAGGCAAAUAGAAGUUAGGAGAAGAGACGUGAGUUGAUAUGUCUGUCUUCCUGGUCUACACCACACCCUGUACAGAUAUGCUCAGAUUUAUGUGCCUAAGACUUAGAGGGAGGGGCGGGAAGGGGAGCACACAAUAUCCUGUGUGUGUGUCAGUGAGAAGCAAGACCCCUUUAAAGCAUAACCGAGUGGGGUCUGGGUUUGGGGGCUCCCCCGAGUCUUUUCAGUUUAUGACCAUGGAAGAGGCAUCGGGGGUGGGGGGGCAGGGGAAGACUGUACCUCUCCUCCUCUCACCCACUUCUUUGCGCAGUAGAUCUUCCAGACGCAGCCUCGUUAACUCCGAAGUUUAAGUUUAACCCAAAGCUGGGCAUUGAUAAUCCUGUCCUCUCCUUGGCGGAAGACCAAGACCCCUCUGGUAACCCCCUCCCCCUGGCAACCAUUCCCUUUCCCUGGAUACGCCACAGCUCCACACAGCCUCCCAUCUCCUUGGUAACCACUCACUCGGUCUCCCUCUGAUGACAGCCUUGGUUGGGAGUGACUGUGGAGAGAGGAGGGGCUGGGUGUUUCCUUCUGACAGUGUUCACCCUGCUGCCCAACACCUGACUGGGUGGAAGCACCCAGUGCCCUGUCAGGACUCAAGGUUUGCCAGUCACACGGUGGACCUGUGCUUGGGCCAUGCCGUCUCUCCUCCCCCUCCAGACCCCUGGAGCCUGGAGCGGCCUCACUUCUGUCUGCUGAGCAAAGAGGAGGGCAAGGGUUUUGGCUUCCACCUGCAGCAGGAGCGGGGCAGGGCUGGGCAUGUGGUGUGCAGGGUGGAGCCAGGCACCUCUGCCCAGCGCCAGGGUCUCCGGGAAGGAGACCGGAUCCUGGGGGUGAACAGUGAUGUCGUGGAACACGAAGACUAUGCGGUGGUGGUACGCCGCAUCCGGGCCAGCGGUCCUCGGGUGUUGCUGACAGUCUUGGCGGGGCAUGUGCAUGAUGUGGCCAGAGCUCAGCACGGCGACAGUGCCCACCUCUGCCCUACCCUAGGCCCCGGGGUGCGGCCCCGGCUCUGCCACAUAGUGAAAGAUGAGAGUGGCUUUGGCUUCAGUGUCACCCAUGGUAAUCAGGCUCCUUUCUGGUUGGUGCUAAGUACUGGAGGAGCAGCUGAGCGGGCAGGGGUGCCCCCUGGGGCCCGACUGCUGGAAGUGAAUGGGGUCAGUGUGGACAAGCUCACUUACAAACAACUCACCAGGAAGCUUUGGCAGAGUGGAGAGCAAGUGACCUUGCUGGUGGCAGGGCCAGAGGUGGAGGAACAGUGUCGCCAGCUGGGAAUGCCCCUGGCUGCACCCCUGGCAGAGGGCUGGGCACUGCCAACCAAGCCCCGCUGUCUGCACCUAGAGAAAGGGCCCCAGGGCUUUGGGUUCCUGCUCCGGGAGGAGAAGGGCCUUGAUGGUCACCCUGGGCAGUUCCUGCGGGAGGUGGACCCUGGACAGCCAGCCGAGAAGGCUGGGAUGCAGGCUGGGGACCGACUGGUGGCUGUGGCUGGGGAGAGCAUGGAAGGGCUAGGCCACGAGGAAACAGUGUCCAGGAUCCGGGCGCAGGGCUCCCAUGUCUCCCUGAUUGUCGUCGACCCUGAGGCUGACCGAUUCUUCAGCAUGGUUCGCCUGUCCCCACUCCUCUUUUUGGAGAGCACAAUGGCUCCUGCCUCUCCCCACGACACCUGCUCAGCCUCUCUGAUUGAGACUGCAGACCCACAACUUGCAGACACAGCUGAAUGUCCUGGCUCUCUGGGCUCCCACCAGUGCAUCCUGUACCCUGGGCCUGGCGGCAGCUAUGGCUUCCGACUCAGCUGUGUGGCCAUGGGGCCUCAUCUCUUCGUCUCCCAGGUGACUCCAGGUGGCUCAGCUGCCCGGGCAGGGCUGCAAGUGGGAGACGUGAUUCUGGAGGUGAACGGGGAUCCUGUGGGUGAAGAUUAUGACCUGGAAAGGCUUCAGCAGCUGGCUGAGGCCGAGCCACCCCUCUGCCUGAAGCUAGCAGCCAGGUCCCGGCAGGGCUGGGAAGCCUGGAUUCCCCCAGGCUCUGGAGAGGUGAGGGAGAAGAAACUGGUGCCACUCUGAGGAGCCAGAGAAGGCAGAGAGGAGCCAGAAAGAAGGAAGAGAGGGCAGGAAGGCUGCAGGGUGCAGUGUGGGAUACGCAGGUUGGGUCAUGGAUCAGGCUCUGGCCUCAGAACUGCUGUAAAGUGCCCCUGCUUGGCACAGUUCAACCCGCUGGCUUUCCUGUCUUCACUCUCCAGCCUGAGACGCUCUCUCCAAGCUAGAGGGCUGGAGCCCUAGGACUCAGACACCACCGGUCACAGUGUUGCCCAGGGCCUCCCUCCCUCCCCAUGACCUGCCUCCCAGAAGAGGGUGUGGUCAGAGGUCUCAGGCCCAUGAGGGAGCCCAGGACCCAAGAGAUGUCAUAAGGGAGCAUUGGAGAGCUAUGCCCCAAGGUGAAGUUGUGGGCUGUGGGGCAUGCUAGGAUUUUUUUUUUUUUUUUUUUUUUGCCUUUAGGCUGCAGCUUCCCCACCCUGACAGAGGAUUGUAGCCAUCUGGGCUUUGCCUUAUGUAUGACUCCAGGAUCUUUGAAUGCAAUGCAAGAAUUUGGAAACCAGCUAUACCUUCCCUCUGUAGGCAUUUUGGGAUUGUCAGGGUGGUGCCUGGUCACUGUUGAAUUUGUUAUAGAAACGGCCAUUCCCCAUAAA